rnacentral:tRNA from 2 species
GCGAAUAUAGUAUAAUGGUUAUUACCUCAGUUUUGUGGACUGAUGAUGUUGGUUCAAUUCCAGCUGUUCGCUCGA